GCUUAUGAGAAAGGGUGGAAAUUCUGAUACCUUUUAUUAGAAUUGUACAGAAGUAGAAGAAUCCUCACAGAGUCACGGACUCCUUUCUCUGUUGCCUUUGAAAAGUUAACACAUGUGAGGCUAUGCAAGAAGCAGACACUGCAGCGGAGGAGGAGGGAUGUGGCAAUGCAGAGGCUGGGGCUUGUGCAUUUUGAAAAGUGGCAGGACUCUGCCAGGUAGGGAUUUACAUGUACAUUUUUGUUAACAUGAUGUUAUCAUCUACUAAACAGAACAAGAAUGGUAAGCAGAUUGGAAAUGUUGGUCAGAUUUGGUGGCACAGUCAAAUGCUCUGCUUCCACCUCUCGGCAGGACAGCCAACAAUUGGUAUCGCUUUGCUCAGUCAUUCAGUUUACAGUCUCUCCUCAAGAAUUCUCAUUGUCCCUCUCCUCCCCUGCCACCACAGCAGACAGCACUGUUCUCGAAACCAAAACUUGAAAUGUUAGCCUCGGUGAAGGCAACAAAGAUGGCAGCUUUGGGAUGGGCAAAGGACUGUCCUUCAUGAUGUGCCUGGUGGGACAGGACGGUCAGUCUGGGCAGCCCCAAAUCCUACCUUUGGGAAUGCUCAGGACCAAAUUGCUCAAGGGGAGAUGGAGAUGUUCCUUACUGCCCAAAGAGGAUGUUUCUCUGUAGCCUCCAAUAGCCCCUGGUUCAUUUCUGUCACAAAUAAUUAGGGUUUUCAUCCUUUCUAAGAUAUUUAUCUUAAUCCUAGCUUGGAUGUUCUCAUUAUUCUCAUAAGCAUCUAAAUUAAACUAUUUUAUAUCAUAUUAAGUCUUUAGCCAGAAGGGUAUCGUGUGGCAAUCAGUUCCAUAGGUUAAUUAUGAACUGAAUAAAAUAGGAUUUUCUUUGUUGGUUUUUAAAUAUGUUGUUUUUCCAUGUUGUUGCAUUAGGACGAGAGGAAACCAGAAACAAGCUGUUGGUCUUCUCUCUCUUUAUCAGACAGAGAUGCGUUCGCUUUGUGAAUGGGAAACUGAAACAUGGAGAUAUUCUGACAGCUCCCAGGGAAGGAUGGAAACCCUCCUGUUCACAUCCUGGAGAUGACCCACUCAUCACAGCCCUGGGGAGAAGAUUCGUGUACCUGGUGCACAGGAGGCGCAGAGCAGGGCAGCUUGCAUCAUUCCCCUGCUGCUGGCAAGGGAGAUCAGAGUCCUCAGCCCGCUCCUCUGAAUGGUGUCAGAGUACCUGCAUAGAGCAAAUAACUGCAGCAGAAUCCGUGGCUACCAUUUGCAUAUAGCAAAGGAGGCUAUUUAGGAGGUGCCAGCCAGAAAGCUUCUUACUUCUCAGCUCUGUGAAGACUCAGACCUCGUGAGGCACCAAAUAGAAGUGGAUAAGAGUCUUUUGUCUGUGUAAGCCCAGUGGCCCCUUCGUACAGGUGAUUGAAGCAGUCAUGAAAAAGUGAGACUCUGCCCACAUUCCUUUGAAAUAAUAGCCGGUGUCUUAUUCAGCAUUUCCUGCAUUUGUCUAUAUGCCCUUGUUUCUUUACAUAGUGCAGCAUGCCUGCUUGAUUCAUAGGCCAUUUCAUUUGUUUCAUUUCCAGAAUGUGGGAUAAGCAGUGCACUUAGCUUUAGACACUAAGUCCUUUUCUUCUCCAUGUAAAAUCCCAUCUGCUCUCUUUGUGUGCUACUCCCCUGCCUUUGGCUGUGGUGGGAUGCUGGGGGACAGGGAGCGCAUCUGGGAGUGCAUUCCUUGUGCUUAUGUUCCAAACCAACAUGGCAUUAUCUUUCAACCUAAAACCACCUCUUUGAAUAACUACUUUUUUUUUUUUUUUUUUUUUAUAUGGCACAGCAAUGUGCCCCAGCUUAUAGCAAAAAUACACGUGCAGAGGGAACCGAAGUUGAGCCUGCAGUCACCAAACUUGCCUGCACAAACUCCUUGGAAACAACUGUACACGUUGCAUCAAAAGAUACACAUCUUUUGCUCUCUCCUCUUGAGCACUGAAAGGAUAUUAUUUUGAAAGUGACUACAUCGCAGCCAUUUCUCAGCUCCUUUGCAAACAGAAGAGAACUUUGCAUUAAGAAGGGUUUUUUUGUGUGUGUGUGUGUGUUUGUUUGUUUGUUUUCUGAAAUUAAAUGUUUUUAUCCUUUCUUUUUUGGGGGGGAGGGGAGAAGAGUCAUUUUUAUAAGUUUAGAAAUAAAGAGGCAAAAGUUCUGUUCUGUGGUUUUUUG
rnacentral:lncRNA from 1 species